UACGGAGGAGGCAAGCGUUAUCCGGAAUUAUUGGGAGUAAAGCGUCCGUAGGUGGUUGACCAAGUCUGCUGUCAAAAGGUGGGGCUUAACCUCAUAAAGGCAGUGGAAACUGGUGAGCUAGAGUGCGGUAGGGGUAAGGGGAAUUACAAGUGUAGCGGUGAAAUGCGUAGAGAUUGGGAAGAACAUCGGUGGCGAAAGCGCCUUGCUGGGCCUGCACUGACACUGAGGGACGAAAGCUAGGGGAGCGAAAGGG
rnacentral:rRNA from 1 species